AUAAUGAUACUUCCGUCCAGUCACAGCCCCGAAAGGGAUCACGCAAUGAGGACGGCCGCAGAGAUCCUGCCGGGGGUGAGAGGCCCAUGG
rnacentral:ncRNA from 1 species